UCUGAGAGCCGAGUCUCUCUACAGUCAGAGGUUUUUGUACGACGGCUCAAUGAGUUUGUAUCACUGUGGUACACGUUCGGUGGAGGAACCAGACUGCAAGUUGGAGGUGAUGCACGUCCCACCUUGACAGUGCUGCCCCCCUCCCGUGAGGAGCUGCAGCAGGGUAAGGCCACGCUCAUGUGCCUGGCCAACAAGGGCUUCCCCUCAGGCUGGAGUCUGGCCUGGAGGGUGGACGGCAGCAGCAGCAUCAGCGGGGAGGAGAGCAGGAGCCCUGCGGUGCUGGAGAAGGACGCUCUCUACAGCUGGAGCAGCACCCUGAGGAUCACUGCAGACCAGUGGAGGAAGGUGGGCUCUGUGACCUGUGAGGCCACCCAGGGCUGCCAGACUCCAGUCACAGAGACUCUGAGGAGAGACCAGUGCUCCCAGUGACUCACUGGGACUCUGCUGCUGGUUUUACUCUCAGAUUGUGCUAAAAAAAAUUUCUCUCUGCCCUUUUCUGUGAUUAAAAAAGUUACCAUUGUGUUUUUGAUGAUUUAAAUGGCACAACCAAUAAAAAAUGA